UACGUAGGGUGCGAGCGUUUGUCCGGAAUUAUUGGGCGUAAAGAGCUCGUAGGCGGUGUGUCACGUCGGCCGUGAAAACCUGCAGCUUAACUGUGGCGUGCGGUCGAUACGGGCAUCACUGGAGUUCGGCAGGGGAGACUGGAAUUCCUGGUGUAGCGGUGAAAUGCGCAGAUAUCAGGAGGAACACCGGUGGCGAAGGCGGGUCUCUGGGCCGAUAACUGACGCUGGAGGAGCGAAAGCGUGGGGAGCAAACAGG
rnacentral:rRNA from 1 species